AUUGAAUGCUGGCGGCAGGCUUAACACAUGCAAGUCGAGCGGAGCGAGGGUGCUUGCACCUUAGCUUAGCGGCGGACGGGUGAGUAAUGCUUAGGAAUCUGCCUAUUAGUGGGGGAUAACGUUCCGAAAGGAACGCUAAUACCGCAUACGUCCUACGGGAGAAAGUGGGGGAUCUUCGGACCUCACGCUAAUAGAUGAGCCUAGGUCGGAUUAGCUAGUUGGUGGGGUAACGGCUCACCAAGGCGACGAUCCGUAGCUGGUCUGAGAGGAUGAUCAGCCACACUGGAACUGAGACACGGUCCAGACUCCUACGGGAGGCAGCAGUGGGGAAUAUUGGACAAUGGGCGAAAGCCUGAUCCAGCCAUGCCGCGUGUGUGAAGAAGGUCUUCGGAUUGUAAAGCACUUUAAGUUGGGAGGAAGGGUUGUAAGCUAAUAUCUUGCAGCUUUGACGUUACCAACAGAAUAAGCACCGGCUAACUCUGUGCCAGCCGCCGCGGUAAGAC
rnacentral:rRNA from 1 species